AUUAAAACUAGGAUUAGAUACCCUAUUAUUUUAAGCUUAAUGUUGGUAGUAAGUAAAAAUUAUGAAAUCAUAAAAUUUUGGCGGUAUUUUAAGCUUGUUAGAGGAAUUUGCUCUGUAAUGGAUACAACGCCUAUAUCUUACUUAAUUUUGUAAUUAAAGUCAGUUUGUAUACCACUAUAUUUAAUUAUAUUGAAUAAUUAUAUUUAAGAUUUUUAUAUAAAUAUAUAUUAAGUCAAGGUGCAACAAAUAAUUAUGAGUGAAGUGAAUUACAUUAAUUUUAAUGAUAUUUUGAUAGUGAAAAGAAAAGUUAGGAUUUAAUAGUAAAAUAUUAAUAUAAUGAAUAUUUGAAUUAAGCUCUAAAAUAUGCCUCUUCGCCCG
rnacentral:rRNA from 1 species